UAGGUAACACUAAGAAGACAUGUGAUGAUUGUUACGGUCAAACUACUGCACAAAGGAUCAAGAAAAAGAUAUAUAGCAUAUUGGAACAAAGACAAGAAAACUUGGAUGUGACCAGCUAUAUAAAAAAGAAGCCUACCUAUAGGUAUUCUAAUAGGGUUUUAAAGGCAACUAGAUUCAACCA